rnacentral:tRNA from 1 species
CCGCCCGUAGCUCAAUUGGAAGAGCGUCGGCCUUCGAAGCCGCAGGUUCCAGGUUCGAGCCCUGGCGGGCGGA